rfam:Gossypium hirsutum cultivar TM-1 chromosome 9, whole genome shotgun sequence
CACGUCAACGCGCUUUGCUGAUGUGGACACAAAUCGCGCUUUAGAGGAUGUGAUUUGUUGCCAUGUCAAUAAAGCGCGCUGACAUGG